UAAGGGCGCACGGUGGAUGCCUUGGCACUAGAAGCCGAUGAAGGACGUUACUAACGACGAUAUGCUUUGGGGAGCUGUAAGUAAGCUUUGAUCCAGAGAUUUCCGAAUGGGGAAACCCAGCAUGAGUUAUGUCAUGUUAUCGAUAUGUGAAUACAUAGCAUAUCAGAAGGCACACCCGGAGAACUGAAACAUCUUAGUACCCGGAGGAAGAGAAAGAAAAUUCGAUUCCCUUAGUAGCGGCGAGCGAAACGGGAAGAGCCCAAACCAACAAGCUUGCUUGUUGGGGUUGUAGGACACUCUAUACGGAGUUACAAAGGACGACAUUAGACGAAUCAUCUGGAAAGAUGAAUCAAAGAAGGUAAUAAUCCUGUAGUCGAAAAUGUUGUCUCUCUUGAGUGGAUCCUGAGUACGACGGAGCACGUGAAAUUCCGUCGGAAUCUGGGAGGACCAUCUCCUAAGGCUAAAUACUCUCUAGUGACCGAUAGUGAACCAGUACCGUGAGGGAAAGGUGAAAAGCACCCCGGAAGGGGAGUGAAAUAGAACCUGAAACCGUGUGCUUACAAGUAGUCAGAGCCCGUUAAUGGGUGAUGGCGUGCCUUUUGUAGAAUGAACCGGCGAGUUACGAUUUGAUGCAAGGUUAAGCAGUAAAUGUGGAGCCGUAGCGAAAGCGAGUCUGAAUAGGGCGUUUAGUAUUUGGUCGUAGACCCGAAACCAGGUGAUCUACCCUUGGUCAGGUUGAAGUUCAGGUAACACUGAAUGGAGGACCGAACCGACUUACGUUGAAAAGUGAGCGGAUGAACUGAGGGUAGCGGAGAAAUUCCAAUCGAACCUGGAGAUAGCUGGUUCUCUCCGAAAUAGCUUUAGGGCUAGCCUCAAGUGAUGAUUAUUGGAGGUAGAGCACUGUUUGGACGAGGGGCCCCUCUCGGGUUACCGAAUUCAGACAAACUCCGAAUGCCAAUUAAUUUAACUUGGGAGUCAGAACAUGGGUGAUAAGGUCCGUGUUCGAAAGGGAAACAGCCCAGACCACCAGCUAAGGUCCCAAAAUAUAUGUUAAGUGGAAAAGGAUGUGGCGUUGCCCAGACAACUAGGAUGUUGGCUUAGAAGCAGCCAUCAUUUAAAGAGUGCGUAAUAGCUCACUAGUCGAGUGACACUGCGCCGAAAAUGUACCGGGGCU
rnacentral:rRNA from 1 species